CAGUUUGUAUCCGACACUAAGGAGCCUUGGCCGAUAACCAAGUUAUCGGGGGUUAAAAUCCCCCCAAACUGC
rnacentral:tRNA from 1 species